rnacentral:misc_RNA from 1 species
AAGUCGUAACAAGGUUUCCGUAGGUGAACCUGCGGAAGGAUCAUUACCAAAUCCAAAUACCCAAACCCCAUGUGAACUAUUGUUUUUAGUCUGUCUUUGGGAGAAAAUAGCGAAAAUGUAUAUUUAAGAGUUCAUUCUCAUAUAUUAUAUUUUGGAGCUGUUUCUCCCAAUAGAGUCCGGCGCAAUCUUUUGAUUUGUGUCCAGAUUCGAAACCCCCCUUUUUAUAAACCACUUGAUUUUUCUGUUGGAAUUUCUUUUAUUAAUUUCAAAUAAAAGACAACUUUUAACGGUGGAUCUCUUGGCUCGU